rnacentral:rRNA from 1 species
GACGAACGCUGGCGGCGUGCUUAAUACAUGCAAGUCGAACGGAAAGGCCCCUUUGGGGGUACUCGAGUGGCGAACGGGUGAGUAACACGUGAGUAACCUGCCCUUGACUUCGGGAUAACUUCAGGAAACUGGGGCUAAUACCGGAUAGGAAUCCUUGCUGCAUGGUGGGGGUUGGAAAGCUUCGGCGGUUUUGGAUGGACUCGCGGCCUAUCAGCUUGUUGGUGGGGUAGUGGCUUACCAAGGCUUUGACGGGUAGCCGGCCUGAGAGGGCGACCGGCCACAUUGGGACUGAGAUACGGCCCAGACUCCUACGGGAGGCAGCAGUGGGGAAUAUUGCACAAUGGGCGGAAGCCUGAUGCAGCAACGCCGCGUGCGGGAUGACGGCCUUCGGGUUGUAAACCGCUUUCAGCAGGGGCGAAGCUUGUGGUGACGGUACCUGCAGAAGAAGCACCGGCUAACUACGUG